UACAGAGGAGCCAAGCGUUGUCCGGAUUGACUGGGCGUAAAGCGCACGCAGGCGGACGCGCGCGUGGGUGUGAAAUCUGGCCGCUUAACGGCCAGCGGCCAUCCCAUACGGCGGGUCUGGAGCGAUGCAGGAGGUCGGUGGAAUUCCCGGUGUAGCGGUGAAAUGCGUAGAUAUCGGGAAGAACACCGAGUGGCGAAAGCGCUCUACUCGGGCCGAUAACUGACACUGAGGGACGAAAGCUAGGGGAGCGAAAGGG
rnacentral:rRNA from 1 species